GGUUAAGCGACUAAGCGUACACGGUGGAUGCCCUGGCAGUCAGAGGCGAUGAAGGACGUGCUAAUCUGCGAUAAGCGUCGGUAAGGUGAUAUGAACCGUUAUAACCGGCGAUUUCCGAAUGGGGAAACCCAGUGUGAUUCGUCACACUAUCAUUAACUGAAUCCAUAGGUUAAUGAGGCGAACCGGGGGAACUGAAACAUCUAAGUACCCCGAGGAAAAGAAAUCAACCGAGAUUCCCCCAGUAGCGGCGAGCGAACGGGGAGCAGCCCAGAGCCUGAAUCAGUGUGUGUGUUAGUGGAAGCGUCUGGAAAGGCGUGCGAUACAGGGUGACAGCCCCGUACACAAAAAUGCACAUACUGUGAGCUCGAUGAGUAGGGCGGGACACGUGGUAUCCUGUCUGAAUAUGGGGGACCAUCCUCCAAGGCUAAAUACUCCUGACUGACCGAUAGUGAACCAGUACCGUGAGGGAAAGGCGAAAAGAACCCCGGCGAGGGGAGUGAAAAAGAACCUGAAACCGUGUACGUACAAGCAGUGGGAGCACGCUUAGGCGUGUGACUGCGUACCUUUGUAUAAUGGGUCAGCGACUUAUAUUCUGUAGCAAGGUUAACCGAAUAGGGGAGCCGAAGGGAAACCGAGUCUUAACUGGGCGUUAAGUUGCAGGGUAUAGACCCGAAACCCGGUGAUCUAGCCAUGGGCAGGUUGAAGGUUGGGUAACACUAACUGGAGGACCGAACCGACUAAUGUUGAAAAAUUAGCGGAUGACUUGUGGCUGGGGGUGAAAGGCCAAUCAAACCGGGAGAUAGCUGGUUCUCCCCGAAAGCUAUUUAGGUAGCGCCUCGUGAAUUCAUCUCCGGGGGUAGAGCACUGUUUCGGCAAGGGGGUCAUCCCGACUUACCAACCCGAUGCAAACUGCGAAUACCGGAGAAUGUUAUCACGGGAGACACACGGCGGGUGCUAACGUCCGUCGUGAAGAGGGAAACAACCCAGACCGCCAGCUAAGGUCCCAAAGUCAUGGUUAAGUGGGAAACGAUGUGGGAAGGCCCAGACAGCCAGGAUGUUGGCUUAGAAGCAGCCAUCAUUUAAAGAAAGCGUAAUAGCUCACUGGUCGAGUCGGCCUGCGCGGAAGAUGUAACGGGGCUAAACCAUGCACCGAAGCUGCGGCAGCGACGCUUAUGCGUUGUUGGGUAGGGGAGCGUUCUGUAAGCCUGUGAAGGUGUGCUGUGAGGUAUGCUGGAGGUAUCAGAAGUGCGAAUGCUGACAUAAGUAACGAUAAAGCGGGUGAAAAGCCCGCUCGCCGGAAGACCAAGGGUUCCUGUCCAACGUUAAUCGGGGCAGGGUGAGUCGACCCCUAAGGCGAGGCCGAAAGGCGUAGUCGAUGGGAAACAGGUUAAUAUUCCUGUACUUGGUGUUACUGCGAAGGGGGACGGAGAAGGCUAUGUUGGCCGGGCGACGGUUGUCCCGGUUUAAGCGUGUAGGCUGGUUUUCCAGGCAAAUCCGGAAAAUCAAGGCCGAGGCGUGAUGACGAGGCACUACGGUGCUGAAGCAACAAAUGCCCUGCUUCCAGGAAAAGCCUCUAAGCAUCAGGUAACAUCAAAUCGUACCCCAAACCGACACAGGUGGUCAGGUAGAGAAUACCAAGGCGCUUGAGAGAACUCGGGUGAAGGAACUAGGCAAAAUGGUGCCGUAACUUCGGGAGAAGGCACGCUGAUACGUAGGUGAAGCGACUUGCUCGUGGAGCUGAAAUCAGUCGAAGAUACCAGCUGGCUGCAACUGUUUAUUAAAAACACAGCACUGUGCAAACACGAAAGUGGACGUAUACGGUGUGACGCCUGCCCGGUGCCGGAAGGUUAAUUGAUGGGGUUAGCGCAAGCGAAGCUCUUGAUCGAAGCCCCGGUAAACGGCGGCCGUAACUAUAACGGUCCUAAGGUAGCGAAAUUCCUUGUCGGGUAAGUUCCGACCUGCACGAAUGGCGUAAUGAUGGCCAGGCUGUCUCCACCCGAGACUCAGUGAAAUUGAACUCGCUGUGAAGAUGCAGUGUACCCGCGGCAAGACGGAAAGACCCCGUGAACCUUUACUAUAGCUUGACACUGAACAUUGAGCCUUGAUGUGUAGGAUAGGUGGGAGGCUUUGAAGUGUGGACGCCAGUCUGCAUGGAGCCGACCUUGAAAUACCACCCUUUAAUGUUUGAUGUUCUAACGUGGACCCGUGAUCCGGGUUGCGGACAGUGUCUGGUGGGUAGUUUGACUGGGGCGGUCUCCUCCUAAAGAGUAACGGAGGAGCACGAAGGUUGGCUAAUCCUGGUCGGACAUCAGGAGGUUAGUGCAAUGGCAUAAGCCAGCUUGACUGCGAGCGUGACGGCGCGAGCAGGUGCGAAAGCAGGUCAUAGUGAUCCGGUGGUUCUGAAUGGAAGGGCCAUCGCUCAACGGAUAAAAGGUACUCCGGGGAUAACAGGCUGAUACCGCCCAAGAGUUCAUAUCGACGGCGGUGUUUGGCACCUCGAUGUCGGCUCAUCACAUCCUGGGGCUGAAGUAGGUCCCAAGGGUAUGGCUGUUCGCCAUUUAAAGUGGUACGCGAGCUGGGUUUAGAACGUCGUGAGACAGUUCGGUCCCUAUCUGCCGUGGGCGCUGGAGAACUGAGGGGGGCUGCUCCUAGUACGAGAGGACCGGAGUGGACGCAUCACUGGUGUUCGGGUUGUCAUGCCAAUGGCACUGCCCGGUAGCUAAAUGCGGAAGAGAUAAGUGCUGAAAGCAUCUAAGCACGAAACUUGCCCCGAGAUGAGUUCUCCCUGACCCUUUAAGGGUCCUGAAGGAACGUUGAAGACGACGACGUUGAUAGGCCGGGUGUGUAAGCGCAGCGAUGCGUUGAGCUAACCGGUACUAAUGAACCGUGAGGCUUAACCUU
rnacentral:rRNA from 1 species